rnacentral:rRNA from 1 species
UCGAGGAUCUUCGGCAAUGGGCGCAAGCCUGACCGAGCGACGCCGCGUGUGGGAUGAAGGCCCUUGGGUUGUAAACCACUGUCAGGGGGGACGAAAUGCGCGCGGGUACUCCCGUGCGUUUGACAGAGCCCCAGAGGAAGCACGGGCUAAGUUCGUGCCAGCAGCCGCGGUAAUACGAACUGUGCAAACGUUAUUCGGAAUCACUGGGCUUAAAGGGUGCGUAGGCGGCUUAUUAAGCAGGGUGUGAAAGCCCCCGGCUCAACCGGGGAAUAGCGCUCUGAACUGAUGAGCUGGAGCGAGGCAGGGGUGCGCGGAACUUCCAGUGGAGCGGUGAAAUGUGUUGAUAUUGGAAGGAACACCGGAGGCGAAAGCGGCGCACUGGGUCUUGUCUGACGCUGAGGCACGAAAGCCAGGGGAGCAAACGGG